rnacentral:rRNA from 1 species
CAGCCGUAAACAAUGUGCGUUAGGUGUGUCGGUAACCACGCGUUACUGAUGCGCCGAAGAGAAAUCGUGAAACGCACCACCUGGGAAGUACGGUCGCAAGGCUGAAACUUAAAGGAAUUGGCGGGGGAGCAUCACAACAGGUGGAGCCUGCGGUUUAAUUGGAUUCAACGCCGGACAUCUCACCGGAUAAGACAGCUGAAUGAUUGUCAAUCUGAAGGUUUUACAUGACUAGCUGAGAGGUGGUGCAUGGGCGUCAGUGACU